ACCACCUCCUUGAAAGUGGCUGAGUCCUUCUUCCUGACCCGGGCCUUGGAAAAACCAGCUUCUCUCUCUUUUAUUGUCUGUUCCCAACUUCUGUUCUGGAAGUUCCACUGAGCACCCCCGUACUCCCCACUCAUCCUUUCCAGCUAACUCUGCUCCCCUCUACUCUGAUUCCACUUUCUCCUGCCUUCACACUCUUUUUUAAUCAAAGAGAGAAUGGCUCUUCUGGACCGGCCCCCAGCUCCCCUUGGGAACCAUUUGUGUUCUGCACGGCCUGCUCAGCUGGACGCUUUAUACAAUUUCAGUGGAGUGAAGUUCAGGAGGCGUGGAGCUGACACCGGAGCAGCCCCACGACAAGCGCAUCUCUGACUUGGAAAAGGAAAGACCAGUGAGGGUGUGAGAGAUGGAGGCAUCAUCUGAAAUGUGUAUCCUUCUGCAGAGAGGACGGGCGGCGGGCCGACUGGAGAAAGCACCGCGAUGGGAACUGCUUGUCCUCUCUCAAAUGGACGUGUUUUCUGUAACUCAUAAAAAUUAAAAGUUGUUUGUUGGCUGGAAA